ACAGGACAUCUACCACCCACACACACACACACACACACACACACUGCACAGUGGACAGAGAGAUGGUGCACACAAAGAUCUUCAAAUAUGUGUUAUGUCCGAGAAAUGUUCAUAUUUGGGUAGAGAGGUAAAAGGACACGAGCAAAAAUGAUCAAGUUUGGAUUAAUUCAUCUCAUGUUUCUCAUGCACGCGACGAUUUUCUUCAGGUUUACUGUUUAUGGAGCUUGCAGCACCAGUUCACCCAGGACACAGUUGGAUAAUAGUAAUGAGACGAAGUGGUUCAACAUCUCAGCUCGGCCAUCUAUGAGCAAAUCAGGCUUAGCUCCAGUUCGUAGUAGAAGGUUCACACAGCUAUCCUUUUCCAAAUCUGUAUAUUCAUUUGAAGUGAGGGAAGACACGCCCCCUGGGACAAUUGUGGGACAUGUGGAGGCAGUAUAUAGUGAAGAGAAUGAAACAUCAGUAUACUCUGUUCAGGAGGAUGAUGGCGAUGGCCUCUUUCUUCUCAGUCCACAUUCUGGUGAAUUCCACUUGUCCCGUGCUCUGGAUUUUGAGAUGGAACGCUACUACAUCCUGACUGCAGCUGCUCAGCAGGGGGACAGUGAGCUCACCAGGGUCAGGGUGUACUUCAAUGUGAUCGAUGUCAAUGACAACCCACCAGUGUUCAGCCAGAAUGCCUUUUCUGCCUCCAUUUCAGAAGACUCACCUGUUGGAAUGUGCUUCCUAAGUCUGAAUGUUUCAGAUCCAGAUGAGGGUAUAAAUGGAGAAGUGGAUUUGGUGGUGAAUCUUGAGAGUAAGUUCUCUGUAAACCAGCAGGGAGCUCUGUGUCUACGAGGGGAGUUAGACAGAGAGACAAACACAGUGUAUAACCUCAUCGUCCAGGCCAAUGAUCGUGCUCUGCCCACAGAGGCUCGACUUACAUCCUCAAUGCACGUUACCGUCUAUCUUCUCGAUGUCAAUGACAACUCCCCGGUCAUCACAACACCCAGUACAGUUAGUUUUCCAGAGAAUGCACCUCUUCAUUCUGUUGUUACGGUCAUACAGGCCACAGAUGCUGAUGCUGGAUCCAAUGGUGAAGUUGUUUUCAUGUUUGAGAGUGCAGAAGAAGAACCGUUCAGUAUAAAUAGUUCAACUGGGGUUGUGUACCUGCAGAAGCCAUUGGACAGGGAAACCGAGGAUGUUAUCACAGUCACAUUGAAAGUUAAAGACAAAGGUGUACCACCGCUGUUCACCUCAAUGAACCUCACAGUGCUCAUUGAGGAUGUGAAUGACCACAAUCCAGAGUUCAUUCAAAGCUCUUACAGUCUUUCAGUGUAUGAGGACGUACCUCGCGGAUCAAGCCUGCUCAGAGUUAAUGCAAGUGAUCGAGACAUUGGGUCAAAUGGGCAGGUGCGGUUCUUUGUCUCAGAGAGCGGGUUCUUGGUAGACUCUGUUCUAGGCGUGGUCUCAGUGAUAGACAAGAUGGACCGUGAGAAGAGGCCUUUCUACAGUUUUUCAGUCCUAGCAGAAGACCAGGGAGAUGUUCAAAGGUCUGCCACAGCAACCAUCAACAUCACAGUCCUAGACGUUAAUGACUGCGUACCUAUUUUUUCAUCUGAAUCACUGACAUUACAUGUCUUCGAAAAUGGGGAAGACUCUUCUCAGCACACCCACCAGAUAUAUGCCUCUGAUGAGGACUUGGGAGUUAACAGUCAGCUGACAUAUUCUAUAGAAUCAGGAAAUGAUGAGAGUCUCUUCUCACUUCAUUCCAAUGGAACGUUCCAAAUCUUAGAAGAUCUUGAUAGGGAAGUGAAAAGCCAAUACAUGUUGAAAGUUAUUGCUGUUGAUUCAGGAUUCCCAUCACUGACAAGCACAGGCACUUUGGUUAUUGUUGUUGAUGAUGUCAAUGACAACGCUCCAGUAUUUGACAAUGACACGUUCAAUAGUCACAUAUUGGAGGAUUCUCCUGUUGGGACGGUUUUUUGGAGAAUUACAGCUUCAGACUUGGAUGAGGGUACAAAUGGACAACUAAGAUAUUCUUUAGAAGGCCCAGAUGUUCCUUUUUCCAUCAAUGAAAUAUCUGGAGAGUUGUUUACCGUAAGUGCCUUGGACAGAGAGGCAGUGGCUCUGUACAGAUUUCUGGUGACUGUCACUGACGGACAUCCCACAAAGCCUCUUUCCAGCUCAGCUGCUGUUUCAGUAAAAGUUGAGGAUGUGAAUGAUAACUUUCCAUCCUUUCUUUAUGGACCAUAUGUGGCUAAUGUUCCUGCUGGGAUAACCAAAGGAUCAGUUGUCUGCACAGUGAUGGCAGAAGAUGCAGAUGCUGGAUUGAACGCAAAACUAAAUUUUUCUCUACAUGGCCAACAGGCCCAUCUCUUCUCAAUUAACCCUCGCACAGGAACAGUGUUCACUACAGAUUCUGUGAAGAGAAGAAAUGACAUCACAGUUGAUGUCCAUGUGCAGGAUGGAGCAGAUAUGCCAAAAAUGGACACAACAACCUUGACUGUCAGAUUCCAGAAUAACUCAUACUUUCCUCGAAUUGCAAUCCAAAUAUAUAAAGAUAUUCUCUCCGAGGAUGCAGCUACUGCGACGCUUGUGGCUAUUGUGACUGCAGAAACAUCGAGAAACAUACCAGUGUCUUUCUAUCUGGCCUCUGGAAACUUUGGAGAAGUUUUUGAGCUUCACCACAGCACUGGCGAGCUUACUGUCAAGGAUCCCUUGGAUUUUGAAACCAACGUGCAUUUUCAUCUCGUGGUUGAAGCCAGAGACUCAGGGAUACCGCCUUUUUCAUCAUAUGCCGAACUUCAUAUUAAUGUCAGUGACGUGAAUGAUAACCCACCGGUGUUCUCGCAAAGCAUCUACAGAUGUGACGUGUAUGAGAACUUGGCUUCAAGAAGGGUGUGUAGUGUGUUAGCAGCGGAUGCCGACUCUGGAGUGUUUGCAGAGGUGGAGUACUUCAUUUUAGCUGGUAACAUUGGGAGCACAUUUAAAAUAGAUAAAAAUCAUGGUAGUCUUUCCACAACAAAGCGUUUAGAUCGAGAAAAUUUACCAUGCUAUAAUCUCACUAUCAAGGCCAUUGAUAAAGAAAACAACAGUCUUUCAGCCAUUGCAACGGUUAUCAUCGUAGUUCUCGACACAAAUGAUCACGCGCCCCGCUUCUCACAGAUUUUCAUCGCAGAGGUUCCCGAGGACGCCCCCGUUGGCUUUUCAGUUAUUCAGAUAACUGCUACAGAUGAAGAUGUUGGUCUAAAUGCUGUCAUUGAAUAUACAAUCAUCGGCCAAAAUAGUGAGUUCCCGUUCAGAAUUGAUAAAACCACUGGCACUUUACUGGUACUGCUUCCUUUGGACAGAGAAGAUCAAGAUCAUUAUAUAGUGAAGGUUAACGCCAAUGAUUCUGCUUGGAGCGUUAGCACAGACAUCACUAUAUACAUUACAGAUAUCAACGACAAUACACCGAUCUUCUAUCAACCACUUUACACCAUCACUGUCCCUGAGAUGAAGAUGCAUGAAGUUUUCCUUCUACAAGUUAGCGCUACUGACAGAGAUCUUGGUGAGAAUGCCCACAUCCUCUACUUCAUCGAACCACCAAAUGAACAUUUUUUGGUAAAUGCAUCAACUGGGGAAAUUUCAAACAAACAGCCCAUUGUUCUCCGUGAAUCUGAAUCUGUAAAUUUUGCUUUCACGGUUGUGGCGUCUGACUGCGGCAGUGUUCCUUUGAACAGCUCUAGCAUUGUUUCAGUGACAUUAGUACAAUAUAAUAAUUUCCCACCCUCAUUUUUACCCUUCAGGCCUUUGGUACCAGUCCCUUUAACCCUGGUUGUGGGAACAGAAGUGAUCCAGAUGUCUGCAGUAGAUCAAGAUUCUCUUGAAAUGAACAACAGUGUUGAGUACUUUAAUAGUGGUGGCAAUGGAUCUCUUUAUUUUGAGGUAGAACGUAACAGCGGAAAAGUGCUGUUACAUAAAACUUUAGCAAAUAGUCUUAACAUCUUCCUGACUCUUCAGAUCACUGUGAAAGAUAAAGGCCUCCCUCCUCUUUCUGCAGAAACUGAAAUCAGUUUUGAAGUCACACAAGAGAACCUGUUCGCACCACAUUUUCCUAACAGUAAAGCUGAGUUUUUUGUUCAAGAAGAUUUGCCCAUUGGUUCAGUUAUUGGGAAGGUCCAAGGCAAAGAUAAAGAUUUUGGCAUCAAUGGUGUUAUUUCUUAUUCUUUUGAUGGUGGGAAUGAAAAUGGAUUAUUUGCUAUUGGACACUCUUCAGGAUUGAUCAUGCUGGUUAAAAUGCUUGACUUUGAGGAAUCAGAAACUCAUCAUCUAAAAGUCAUUGCCAAGGAUGGAGGCUGGCAUCCCAAGAUGGGGCAACUCAAUAUCACAGUAUAUGUUAUAGAUUUAAAUGAUAACCCUCCUGUAUUUACAUCUACAGACUACAUUGCCGCUGUUUCAGAAAAUGCUUUAAUUGGUACCUCAGUUUUGCAGGUUUGGGCGAAGGACGCUGACACAGGGAUUCACUCUCAAAUCACGUAUUCACUUAUUGCAGGAGACAUCCAUCUCUUCUAUUUGGACACCAAAAAUGGCACUAUCACCACUUUAGAGAUAUUUGAUUAUGAGCAAAAUCAGAAUUUUGAACUUACAAUCAAGGCCACCAACAUCGGCUCUCCAUAUUUGUUUGAUAUUGCCCAUAUACACAUCCAGGUCACUGGCCUCAAUGAAUUCAUCCCUGCUUUUCAAAGACAUCUAUACAACUUCUCUGUGUCAGAGGCUUUUCCACUACAAACCGAAAUAGGAAGAGUCAUCGCCAUAGACUAUGACCUAGGGCCUGAUGGAAAAGUGUUUUACGUACUUGCAGGGCAAAGUAAAAAAGCUAGUUUUGUAGUGGACGAGCAUACAGGAAUAAUAUAUAUCUGCAAAGAUUUGAAAAAUCGCCUUAAAAAUGAUGACAUCCUACAGGUGCUGGCAAAAAACAGAGGAGCCAUUACUGGAUUUAAUGUUGAUGAGGCAUUGAUACAUCUACACAUAUUAGAUGAAAAUGAUCCCCCUGAGUUUGAUUCAAUGCUCUACACCGUAGCAGUGCCGGAGGACAUCUCGAUUGGGACCUCCAUAAUUAAAGUCAAAGCAGUGGACAGGGAUGUGAUCCGAGAAUGGAGCAGGUUCUCCUAUAGCAUUGAACAUGGAAAUAUUAAUAGUUCCUUUAUUAUAGAUCCCGUCAGUGGCGUCAUUUCAGUUAGCAGUCACCUGGAUAGAGAGAUGUGGGCCAUCUAUAACCUGACGGUCAUUGCUAUUGAUGAGGGUUCACCUGCUGUAACUGGAAGCACGAAGGUCGCUAUCACCAUUACUGAUGUCAAUGACAAUUCUCCCAAAGUUGUUGACCACAGAAGGGUUUAUCCGAGAAAACCAACCUGUUGGCACUCUAGUCUCCACUUUAACUGCCACAGAUGAUGAUCUUCCUCCAAAUCAAGGUCCUUUCACAUACUGGAUGAUGAGACCUGCUGAGGGUUUUUCACUUUCAUCUGAUGGAGUUCUCCUCACCUCAAGACCCUUUGAUCGGGAGCGCAACCCUCUUUUUCACGUACAUAUUGUGGUUCAAGAUGCUGGUAAGCCGCCUAUGUCCUCCACCACUUUGUUUCAUAUUAAAGUUCUUGAUGAAAAUGACAAUGCACCACUCCAGAGAAACAUCAAUAUAUUAGUGAAAUAUUACGGAAGUUCUUUCCCAGGAGGACUAAUCGGAAAUGUGAGACCGAUCGAUCAGGACGAACUGGAUGUGUUCAAUUGUACAAUCAGAAACGGGCCACUUAGGAUGUUUAGCUUCCCAUUUGGGAUGUGUAAUUUGUGGUCCUCCCCAUACCAAGGGGAGGCAACGUAUAAUAUCUCCGUCGAAGCGAGUGACCAGCUCCACCCGUCAGUCAACAACAGCAUCUACGUCAAUUACAAAGGCUUUACCAACGUCUCUCUGGACAACUGUGUGUUGUUCUACAUCUCUAUAUCUACUCUUGAGGAAUUUCUGUCUUUGAAGUAUUUAAAAUUUGUCAAAGCAUUGGAUAGCCUCUUUAACCUACAAGCAUCCAAAACGCAUGUGUUUGGAAUGAAGUUGCAAGGAGAUAAAAUGCUGCUUCUGGCUGCUGUGAAAAGUUACAAUGGUCAGUAUCUAACUGGAGAGGCGGCAAGCGGAAUAUCAAGCAUGCAUAAAAAGUUACUAGAAGUGCAAAGCAAUGUGACUAUAUCCCAAAUAACCAGCGACCCCUGUAUGCUCCGUCCUUGCCAUAAUGGUGCCACCUGCAACAGAAACAUUCACAUCAGUCAGGAAGUUGCUGUGUUGGAAAGUUCUAGUCUUAUAUUUGUAUCUCCCUAUUUUGUGGAGAUCUUUAACUGCUCUUGCCCAACAGGCUUUACAGGUGAUGCAUGUGAACUAGACUUUGAUGAAUGCUCCAGGGAACCUUGUGAAAAUGGGGGAAACUGCUAUAAUAGUCCAGGAACUUAUUUUUGUCAAUGCAAAGAGGGGUUUUCAGGACCGCACUGCACUACAGUUGAUAAUGAAUGUCAAACGGUAGUUUGUUUAAAUGGAGGAACGUGUUGGAACAGACAGGGAGGCUUCAUCUGUGAUUGCAGCCCAGGGUAUGAAGGAAGGUUUUGUGAUCGUAUUGUUGACCACUGUGCUUCCACCCCUUGUGUGUUUGGCAACUGCUUCAGUUUUUUAACUGGUUACUCUUGCCAGUGUCCAUUUGGUGUGAGCGGAAUCAAUUGUGAAGAGCACAGUUAUGGCUUUCAGGAACUUUCUUAUAUAGAAUUUCCUCCACUGGAUCCACAAUAUAACUUCAUUUAUCUGGAGUUUGCGACUGUUCAGCAAAACGCUUUGCUUUUGUACAACCACGGUGACCCAUCAACUUCAGACUUCAUGGCCCUUGAGAUUGUGAGUGGAAGGUUGUGGCUGUCUUAUGAUCUUGGAUCUGGAGUGAUAAGAUUGGAAACUGGAAAGACAGUGGCUGAUGGAAGUUUUCACAACAUCACCGUAAGAAGAACUGGAAAUAUAGCCUCUCUAGAAAUAGACAACUGCUCUGCCAACGAACCGCAAGGUUUUUGCUUAUCUCAGAAUGGUGGCACUGGAACCCAAAGGACUCUGGAAGUGAGCUCAAAUAACAUGACGUUUGGUGGCAUAAAGUCAAUUGAUGCCAUUUUGCAGAGGCAAAUCAGGACUCAUGACUUUGUUGGCUGUAUGAGAAACGUGCAAGUGAACAACAUUGGUCCAGAUUCCUUAAAAUAUCUGGCGUCCCAGAAUGUUCUUGAUCGAUGUCCACGAGCAGAUAUUCCUCCCUGUGAAACCGCUGAGUGUUUGAAUGAAGGAGUUUGUCAAGACCGAUGGUCUCACCACCACUGCCAGUGUAGAGAUCAUUUCACAGGACCCAACUGUGCCAUGAAUUUGGCUGAACAGCAUGUAUUGUUUCUCAAUGGAGAGGCCUACAUUGAGUUUGCCAUCAAGGAAAGCUACAGAAGAAAUCAGCUUCUACAAGCCAUUUUGGAUGGGAAGGAAGGAGACUCUCAGGGGUUUGACAGUGUUGAGAUCAAGAUGAGGACUGUCAGAAGAAAUGGUGUUUUGCUUGUGUGCUGGUGUCAAACAGCACAUCUAAAACUUAAGAUAUCAGAUGGGAAACCUCUGUAUGUGUUCACCAAUGUCACAUCUGGUCAGCAGCUGGAGCUCUCAACGGAGGGAGAUGUGUCAGAUGGACAGUGGCAUGUUCUUCAGCUGCGCAGAAGGGGCUCAUACAUCUCUCUGCUUCUGGAUGAACGGCCUGUUGUGAACACCACCAAUGGCACCAUAACUCACUCGGCAUUCUUGGUGGAGACCAUUUUUCUGGGCACUGCUUCACUGAGAGAAUCCAGAGGUUUCCCAGAGAUGGUCCAGGACUUAGGUUUUAGAGGGUGUGUGGAAUACAUCAAAUUCAACGGCCACCUCCUAUCUUUCAGCGGCUACAAUGAGAUAGUCCAGGCCAGCUCCAGCCCGUCUGUCUUCCAAACCUUCUGCGUUUCUCCAAACCGCUGUGUUCUGACUCCAUGCCUCGAGGAUUCCUGUCUAUCUGAGCCCUGCUGGAAUGAUAGUGACUGUGGAUCUUCUUCCAAAGACGACUACUGGUGCAUUUGUCUACACAACGUGUCCGGGUCUUCGUGUGGAUCCUGCUCAUCUGACGUCGUCCACAGCGAGGCCUGUUCUCAAACACAAAACACCGUCCCCUUAUGGAUUGUGGCCAUCGUUCUUCCCAUCUUUCUCAUUCUGCUGAUCCUGGUACUAUGUAUUGUCCUCAGGAGACAAGGCAAACUCUGUGAGGGAGAAAAGAAGAGUCAUGUCUACCUCAUGCCACCAAGCAAACAGCACGGAACGGAUAACCUGGCAUUCAGUUUAGGUCCUGCUGAUGAGCCUCAUCCGAAUGUCUCAAAUGAAGCCAGCAAGCAACCGGAUUUGAUAAAACCAAGAGAUUCGACUCAAGGAGUGGAAAGUUGUACUGAAAGUGGGCCGCCUUGUCAUGUCUCAGGUUUUGGAGGGAGUGAACUGGAGUACUAUGAGAUUGACAGCACAUACUCAGAUGUGAAGACCCCACAGCUGAAGAAGGAGGAUGAACGUGGAGAUCAGAAAACGUCUAGAGGCGAUUUUCACCAGUGGCAACGUCAAUCCCAACUGUUCUUCAAGAGAAAACUGGCUCCUGAUCUGACAGGCCCUCCACAGCAUCUCUCAGCAGAUGAGGUUGAGAAGCUGAACGCCCCACGGGACCACAAGGGAUACCCUCAUCACAAUUUCAGAGAGUGUCCCAUAAAGCCAUGCAGAAGCGGGGCGACAGAGACGUCAUCAGAGAGUGAAAGUCACUGCUCCUUCACCGGCUCAGAGUUUGACUGUGAGAGAGAACUGUCCCUCAUCAGCUCACAUGACAAAGAUGAACUUCCACCUGAAG